CCUACGGGGGGCAGCAGUGAGGAAUAUUGCACAAUGGGGGAAACCCUGAUGCAGCAACGCCGCGUGGAGGAUGAAGGCCCUUGGGUUGUAAACUCCUUUUCUGUGGGACGAGAGAGGACGGUACCACAGGAAUAAGUCACGGCUAACUACGUGCCAGCAGCCGCGGUAAUACGUAGGUGGCGAGCGUUAUCCGGAAUUACUGGGCGUAAAGCGUACGCAGGCGGCUUGUCUAGUCUGACGUGAAAUCUCCCGGCUUAACUGGGAGAGGUCGUUGGAAACUGGCAAGCUUGAGGCAAUGAGAGGGGCAUGGAAUUCCCGGUGUAGUGGUGGAAUGCGUAGAUAUCGGGAGGAACACCAGAGGCGAAAGCGAUGCCCUGGCAUUGACCUGACGCUCAUGUACGAAAGCGUGGGGAGCGAACGGGAUUAGAUACCCUGGUAGUC
rnacentral:rRNA from 1 species